UACAGAGGAUGCAAGCGUUAUCCGGAAUGAUUGGGCGUAAAGCGUCUGUAGGUGGCUUUUUAAGUCCGCCGUCAAAUCCCAGGGCUCAACUCUGGACAGGCGGUGGAAACUACCAAGCUGGAGUACGGUAGGGGCGAGUGGAAUUCCUGGUGUAGCGGUGAAAUGCGCAGAUAUCAGGAGGAACACCAAUGGCGAAGGCAGCUCGCUGGGACGUGACUGACGCUGAGACGCGAAAGCGUGGGGAGCAAACAGG
rnacentral:rRNA from 1 species